rnacentral:rRNA from 1 species
UGAGUGCUAAGUGUUAGAGGGUUUCCGCCCUUUAGUGCUGCAGCUAACGCAUUAAGCACUCCGCCUGGGGAGUACGGCCGCAAGGCUGAAACUCAAAGGAAUUGACGGGGGCCCGCACAAGCGGUGGAGCAUGUGGUUUAAUUCGAAGCAACGCGAAGAACCUUACCAGGUCUUGACAUCCUCUGACAACCCUAGAGAUAGGGCUUUCCCCUUCGGGGGACAGAGUGACAGGUGGUGCAUGGUUGUCGUCAGCUCGUGUCGUGAGAUGUUGGGUUAAGUCCCGCAACGAGCGCAACCCUUGAUCUUAGUUGCCAGCAUUCAGUUGGGCACUCUAAGGUGACUGCCGGUGACAAACCGGAGGAAGGUGGGGAUGACGUCAAAUCAUCAUGCCCCUUAUGACCUGGGCUACACACGUGCUACAAUGGAUGGUACAAAGGGCUGCAAACCUGCGAAGGUAAGCGAAUCCCAUAAAGCCAUUCUC